CGUCAGGACGAACGCUGGCGGCGUGCCUAACACAUGCAAGUCGAACGGACCGAGCCAAUUAGUUACUAAGCGGCAAGGUUAGUGGCGGACGGGUGAGUAACGCGUGGGUAAUCUACCCUUGAGACGGGGAUAACACCGGGAAACUGGUGCUAAUACCGGAUAAUCUUAUCAAUAGGCAUCUAAUGAUAAGUAAAGAGAGGCCUCUAUUCAUAAGCUUCUGCUCAAGGAAGGAGCCCGCGUCCCAUUAGCUAGUUGGUGGAGUAACAGCCUACCAAGGCAACGAUGGGUAGCCGGCCUGAGAGGGUGACCGGCCACACUGGGACUGAGACACGGCCCAGACUCCUACGGGAGGCAGCAGUGGGGAAUAUUGCGCAAUGGGGGGAAACCCUGACGCAGCAACGCCCCGCGUGAGCGACGAAGGCCUUCGGGUCGUAAAGCUCUGUCAAGAGGGACGAAGUCUAAUAAGUAAAUAGCUUAUUAGGUGACGGUACCUUUGAAGGAAGCCCCGGCUAACUACGUGCCAGCAGCCGC
rnacentral:rRNA from 1 species